UAUCUCUGUAGAGUCUGCAUAUCAAUAAGCGGAGGAAAAGAAACUAACAAGGAUUCCCUUAGUAACGGCGAGUGAAGCGGGAAGAGCUCAAAUUUGAAAUCUUCAAGGUUUUACCUUGACGAAUUGUAGUUUAAAGAAGUGUUUUCUGUUGAAGUUUUGGUAAAAGUUCUUUGGAAUAGGACAUCAUAGAGGGUGAGAAUCCCGUAUUUGACCAUUAUUUUCAGCUUUGUGAUACACUUUCAAAGAGUCGGGUUGUUUGGGAAUGCAGUCCAAAAUGGGUGGUAAAUUUCAUCUAAAGCUAAAUAUUGGCGAGAGACCGAUAGCGAACAAGUACCGUGAGGGAAAGAUGAAAAGAACUUUGAAAAGAGAGUUAAACAGUACGUGAAAUUGUCAAAAGGGAAGCGUUUGACACCAGUGUUGUUUUCUCGAAAAUCAAUUAAAAAUGGCUCGAUUUUGUAUUGUUGAGACCUUAAAAGCUCACUGUACAUUUUUCGUGUCUUUUUUAAUGCACUUUUCGUUUAACAAGUCAACAUCAGUUUCUUUUGCUGUAAAAGGGUAAUAGGAAGGUGGCUUCUACUUCGGUUAGAAGUGUUUAUAGCCUUUGACCUCUGCAAUCGGAGAGACUUGAGGUCUGCAGCGUAGACUCUUCGGGGUUAGAUACAUUUGUGCUAAGUUAUAGCUUUUCAUAGACAACUUGUUGACUAUAAUUAGUCUUGUAGCUUACUCGCUUAUGCUAUUUUACCUACGCUUAGGAUGUUGAUGUGAUACUGCGAGCA
rnacentral:rRNA from 1 species